rnacentral:rRNA from 1 species
CCCUAUGGGGUGCAGCAGCAGCAGCAGUGUAUGCAGCAGAAAUGAGAGGGUUCUCUCCCGUGAUUCUCAACAGGACCCGGGAGCGGGCAGCAGAUCUCGCCAGACGAACGGGUGCCCGGUAUGGAACACCUGAUGAAUUCUCACAAUAUGAUGCAGAUCUGGUCAUCAACGCAACACCGGUCGGAAUGGCAGGCACCAGGGAGCGAUCAGGUCUCUCAUCACCGAUGCCGGUUCCAGCCUCAUGCCUGCAUCCAGAUAUGCCCGUCUUUGAUCUCGUGUACACCCCUGCUGAGACGCCAUUCCUCAGGGCAGCGCUGGGGAAGGGAUGCAGUGUUAUUCCAGGAACAGAGAUGUUCAUCCACCAGCUUGCAGAACAGUUCAUUACCCUUACCGGCAUUGAUGUCCCGGUUGAUAAGAUUCGGAGGUGGCUCCUCUGAAUACCUGGGGAAGAUCAUUCAGGGGUACCACCUUCGGGGGGAGC